CUGAGACAGACUCAUCUCUGCCCCCUCAGCAAGGCCUGACACCAGGCUGCAUGAGCUGCACCAUGCUACCCAUGGCAGCAAAGGUGAGGCUGGCGGGCAGCGGCUUCGUGGGUUUGGAGUUCGCGGUGCCGCAGGAGCCGCAGGCCGCGAACCUAGUGACUCCCGGGACAUGCGCGGGGGCGGCGGGGCGGCGGCCGCCUUCGGCACAGAUCCCCGUGCCAGCGCAGAGGUGAGCCAGGUUGCUGGUGCCGGGACUAGAGCGUGCGCACGUGCGCCGGUGUGUGCAAGGGCGGUGGGGUGGGGCGCAGAUUUCUGCCUCCCCAAGCCUUCCAAGGGCAGGGGCAGGGGUCGGGACGAGGGUUCUGCGCCGUUGCUCCAGCCCUGAUGGAGCUGAGCGGAAGUGAUCAGUGCGACCUGGGGCAGAGCAGAACUGGAAGCGGGCGGCUGUCAAGGUUCUCUGCAGAAGGCUUUACGGUCCGCCUGGGGCUGACCGUCCAGGAACCCCUGGGGGCUCCUGCCGCCCCUCUCCCACCUCUGGCUAGCGGCGCAGCAGGGCGGGCUCAGUCCUGUGCCCGCUGGGGCCUGAGGACCCGCCCAUGCUUGGAGCGGGCUUCCCUGGCUGCUGCGGAAGGCUGGCUGCUCCAUCCUCCUAGGCCUGGCGUUAGGCCACAGUUGCUGUUGCACAACCUUGGUUAGUACCGUGCAUUUGUGGGGAGGGCUAGUCUGGGCCCACCAGUGAGGCCCUGAUCCCCUUCCCAGCAUAAGAGGUCCGAAGGAACCACGGUGGAGCAAAGCCCAAGCUUUUGAGGGCUCAGAGCUCCGGCAGACUAGGCCCUGUUCCUGGCGAUUUUCGGCCCUGCAACCCGAGCUGGGGGGUGGAGCCAGGCCUCCUGCCCAGCCAGGAGUGAGGCAGCUUAGUGCUUGGCCUGGGUGCCCAGGCCUGCACAAGUACACUGGGCCAAGGGAGGGGCUUGGAGCAACCGCUGGGCCCCCCCCCCCACCCUGCCCCUAUCUCCUCCAGAGCCCCCCAGGAAAAGCCCGGUUGGACGAGGUCAUGGCUGCCGCAGCCCCACAGCUAAGCCUGUCCACCAGUCCCCUCUGUCUGGGGGCCCCAGCUGCAGCCUUCAGCCCAGGUGAGACUCAGAAGUCUGUGCUCAGGUAGGGGGGCAGGCCCAGGACUGCUGUUCCCCAGGCCCUGCAGUCACCCAGCAGCUCUGCUGGGCAAUAGAGCCCCUAGCCCAACAGGCCACCUUCCAGACAUGCCUCUUGAGACCUUAUGGAGUGAGUGUCCACCCUCUCAGGGCCUCUCACUGAGGCCAAACCUGCAGUGCCCCCCAGGCCUUCUUGAGCUGUCCACCUCCACUUUGCUGGACACACUGUCCCAGCCAUGCUGCUUCCUGGCUGUGCCAGGCCACCUCCCCUCCCUGUCCUGUGUUGGCAGGCUUCUCCUGGAGACCCCAUGGCCAGUUCCUCCUUAGCCAGGUCCUCCUCCCAGAAGCUUCCUGCCCACCAAGCUCACAGAACAGGCAGCAGCUCAGAGUUAGGCAUGGCAGUGGCCAGCAGGCAGCAGUUUCCACAGAGCAGGGAGAGGCACCCAAGGUCCUGAGGGUGGCAUGUUCCUGCAGAAGCCUGGCCUGGAGCCCUGGAAGGAGGGUCUGGCGCGGCCACCAGGCAGCUACAGCAGCAGCACUAACAGUGGAGACUGGGGCUGGGACCUGGCCAGUGACCAGUCCUCCCCAUCCACCCCAUCACCCCUCCACUGCCCCUCGAGACAGCCCACUUUCUGUUCGGGGGACCCCACCCUGAGAAGAGGAAGGUGAGCCUGGGGGAAGCCCCCCAGGGUGGGAAGGAGGCGGGCAGCCGCUGCUGCCUGAGCCCCUGUCACCCCAGAGCUCCGGGUCCGGGUCAUGUUCCAGUGCCUGUGGAAGAGCUGCGGAAGGUGCCUGGCACAGCAUCCGGGAUGCAGAGCACAUCCCGCCUGGUGCACCUGGGGUGCGAGGGGCUGGGGGCUGGGCCUGGGUGGGGUCAGGCCAGGCUCUGCCCCACGGCCCCAGUCACUGUGUCCCUAGCAGGAGACAGGCGGGCCGGAGCAGAGGGAUGGCGAGGAGGACUUCUACUACACAGAGCUGGAUGUUGGCGUGGACGUGCUGACUGACGGGCUGUCCAACCUGACUCCUGUGUCCCCCACAGCCUCGGUGCCACCAGCCUUCCCCCAUCUGGAGCUGCCAGAGCUGCUCAACCCCCAGCCCUGCCCCGUCUGCUACAGCCCCUGGCCCUGGCCCUGGCCCCCCCUGUGCUCAGCUCUGUAGCUCCCCACAGGUGUGCCACCGUGACCAUGCCUACCAGGUGGGUGAGGCCACAGGUGUCUGGGAGCAGGUCUCAGGGCACUGCAGAGAUGAGCGAGGUUCAGGCUGCAGCUCCGUCCACCUGAGCUGCGGGCCACUGAGGUCCAGGCCUGUGCUCCAGCCUUGCCCUCCAAGCUCGGCACCAGUCUAAGGUGCGUGCGAGUGGAGGGGCCAGGUGGGUAGGUCCCAGCAGGAAAGGUCCUGCCAACAGCACGAUGCCCCUUGUGUGCCCCCCCAGGAAGCCCGUGGUGAUGCCAAGAAGUGCCGGAAGGUGUAUGGCGUGGACCACCGGACCUGUGGUGCACAGCUUGCCGCUGGAAGAAAGCCUGCCAGCGGUUCCUGGACUGAGCCCACCCUCUGGUGCUGCUGCCCAGCUCCCAGACAACCCCAGCCCGAGGCUGGCCAACUCUGGGAGUGCCCCAGGUCCAGGCCCUUUCUGGCUGUAGGGUCUACUUUCUAAUGUGGCAGGGACUAGGGAGUUGUUGAUCCUGGACUCCCAGAGACGUGGGAGGGGUCCUGACACUCAAAGUGCCUCUGAAGAAACCAGCUUUUUGCACUAAAGCCAAACCACACCGCUGCCCCUCAGCCCCCAGGGCACCGCCCGCCCUCCUGAUAGCCCACAGAUUUGUCAAGGAAGCCCAUGGGCCCAGCUCCAAGGCCAGUUGGAGAUGCACUUUGAAGGGUGUCAGGGAGGGAAACUUCCACCCACACAUUUAAUGUGAUGAUUCAAGAGCCCUGGGGCUGACAUUUUACCAUGUUUGUGAAGCUCAGGUGUCUCACGUCUGGGCCCUACCAGGUGAGAAGAAUUAAACAUUUGGGGUUUUUCCAGAAGCUGAGUCUGCCUCUUAGGGGGAAGGAAUGGGUUUUGAUCCCUACAUUUGGGCAGGGGUGGUGGGAGGCCAGGGAACAAGGGACAGCGCCUUAGGGUAACCCUCUGGCCACUUACCCUCUUGCACACCCACGGUGAGGCCAGGGGAGAGUGCUGUCUGAAACACACAGGAGGCACCUGCUUGGAGCAGCAACUUCCCAGUUUAUUGAAAGUGAUUGCUUUGCAAGAAUGUCUAUGCUAAUCCCGUCACAGAAAGGAAACCCACAGGCAGGCCGCGAGCACACCUAGGCAGACAAGAAACUGCGAAACCCACGAGAGAAGAGAAGGUAAUCUUGGCCUGUCCUGGGCUACAGCAGAGCAGGGCAACAGCUGUGAUUUCCACUGACUGAUUACAAAAAACCUCCUCCCCAAAUGUGGACACAUCUUCAAUACACACACAGGUUUAUAAUAAUAUAAAGUCAGUGUAAUAUAGAUUAUCCUCAGAAAAGAUCAACAGUCUUCAAACACUGCCCUUUGUCAAUUCUGUCUCUUGUUGACAGGUUGAAAGCAUGUUGAAAAAAUAAAUAUUUAAGAAAAGCCCACACACAGGCACCCUCACGACAAGUGGUUCUAAAAGGGCUGCAUACAAAACACAACAUAGGGUCUAAAAAAUAAAAGACAACCACCAUUAAGUAUGGCUUUCUUAAGAGCUGCACAUGUCACAGAAUGAGCCAAAGUAAGAUUAUCUUUCCUAAUGCAAAAAGUUCCCAGUUUUUGCAUUUUCUGUUUUCUUUUUUAAAAAAAGAAGAUGUGCAAAGUUGGAAGCAUAGCUGUGUCUUUUUUGAGUCAGGUCCCUGUUGAGUCCUGGCAAUGUCCUGUUUCCCAAAACCCAUAGAGUCCAAAUAUACAGCCUGGUCAGGAUCCAGAGCACAGUACAAAAAACCAGACAGCUUCCCUGCCCCUCAGUAACACCCCCAUCACUGUUUUCCACUUUGGUGUUGCAAACACCAAAAUAC
ensembl:lncRNA